rnacentral:rRNA from 1 species
UACAGAGACCUCAAGCAUUGUCCGGAUUCAUUGGGCGUAAAGAGCGUGUAGGCGGCCAGGUAGGUCGGUUGUGAAAACUGGAGGCUCAACCUUCAGAGGUCGACCGAAACCAUCUGGCUAGAGUCCGGGAGAGGAGAGUGGAAUUCCUGGUGUAGCGGUGAAAUGCGCAGAUAUCAGGAAGAACACCCGUGGCGAAAGCGGCUCUCUGGAACGGUACUGACGCUGAGACGCGAAAGCGUGGGGAGCGAACAGG